CUACGUGCCAGCAGCCGCGGUAAUACGUAGGUCCCGAGCGUUGUCCGGAAUUACUGGGCGUAAAGCGCACGCAGGCGGUCUGUCAAGUCGGAUGUGAAAUCCCCGGGCUCAACCUGGGAACUGCAUUCGAAACUGGCAGGCUAGAGUCUUGUAGAGGGGGGUAGAAUUCCAGGUGUAGCGGUGAAAUGCGUAGAGAUCUGGAGGAAUACCGGUGGCGAAGGCGGCCCCCUGGACAAAGACUGACGCUCAGGUGCGAAAGCGUGGGGAGCAAACAGGAUUAGAUACCCUGGUAGUCCACGCCGUAAACGAUGUCGACUUGGAGGUUGUGCCCUUGAGGCGUGGCUUCCGGAGCUAACGCGUUAAGUCGACCGCCUGGGGAGUACGGCCGCAAGGUUAAAACUCAAAUGAAUUGACGGGGGCCCGCACAAGCGGUGGAGCAUGUGGUUUAAUUCGAUGCAACGCGAAGAACCUUACCUACUCUUGACAUCCAGA
rnacentral:rRNA from 1 species